GGAAAGAUUUAUCGCCGAAAGAUCGGCCCGCGUCUGAUUAGCUAGUUGGUGAGGUAAUGGCUCACCAAGGCGACGAUCCGUAACUGGUCUGAGAGGAUGAUCAGUCACACUGGAACUGAGACACGGUCCAGACUCCUACGGGAGGCAGCAGUGGGGAAUAUUGCACAAUGGGGGAAACCCUGAUGCAGCCAUGCCGCGUGUGUGAAGAAGGCCUUCGGGUUGUAAAGCACUUUCAGCGAGGAGGAAAGGGUAGUAUUUAAUAAAUGCUAUCUGUGACGUUACUCGCAGAAGAAGCACCGGCUAACUUCGUGCCAGCA
rnacentral:rRNA from 1 species